rnacentral:rRNA from 1 species
UUUAGCAAGGAAGAAGCGAAAGUGACGGUACCUGCAGAAAAAGCCCCGGCUAACUACGUGCCAGCAGCCGCGGUAAUACGUAGGGCGCAAGCGUUAUCCGGAAUUAUUGGGCGUAAAGAGCUCGUAGGCGGUUUGUCGCGUCUGCUGUGAAAUCCGGAGGCUCAACCUCCGGCCUGCAGUGGGUACGGGCAGACUAGAGUGCGGUAGGGGAGAUUGGAAUUCCUGGUGUAGCGGUGGAAUGCGCAGAUAUCAGGAGGAACACCGAUGGCGAAGGCAGAUCUCUGGGCCGUAACUGACGCUGAGGAGCGAAAGGGUGGGGAGCAAACAGGCUUAGAUACCCUGGUAGUCCACCCCGUAAACGUUGGGAACUAGUUGUGGGGUCCAUUCCACGGAUUCCGUGACGCAGCUAACGCAUUAAGUUCCCCGCCUGGGGAGUACGGCCGCAAGGCUAAAACUCAAAGGAAUUGACGGGGACCCGCACAAGCGGCGGAGCAUGCGGAUUAAUUCGAUGCAACGCGAAGAACCUUACCAAGGCUUGACAUAUACGAGAACGGGCCAGAAAUGGUCAACUCUUUGGACACUCGUAAACAGGUGGUGCAUGGUUGUCGUCAGCUCGUGUCGUGAGAUGUUGGGUUAAGUCCCGCAACGAGCGCAACCCUCGUUCUAUGUUGCCAGCACGUAAUGGUGGGAACUCAUGGGAUACUGCCGGGGUCAACUCGGAGGAAGGUGGGGAUGACGUCAAAUCAUCAUGCCCCUUAUGUCUUGGGCUUCACGCAUGCUACAAUGGCCGGUACAAAGGGCUGCAAUACCGCGAGGUGGAGCGAAUCCCAAAAAGCCGGUCCCAGUUCGGAUUGAGGUCUGCAACUCGACCUCAUGAAGUCGGAGUCGCUAGUAAUCGCAGAUCAGCAACGCUGCGGUGAAUACGUUCCCGGGUCUUGUACACACCGCCCGUCAAGUCAUGAAAGUCGGUAACACCUGAAGCCGGUGGCCUAACCCUUGUGGAGGGAGCCGUUCUAAAGGUGGAUCGGUACUUGCCU